rnacentral:lncRNA from 1 species
CAUGAACACUCUGCAUGUAUAUUUGUUCCUAAAGAGUCGGCUUCAUGUAGCCUGGGAUUUGAGCGAAAUGACUUUGUGCUAGUCUGCAGCUCAAAGUUUCACUGGAAGGAUGAUGCCUCCAGGUGGUUCUCACAAUGCAUCGAAAAGGCUGGAGUCCAAACCAAGCUCAUCCUUGACUAAACCCACACAGCAACUGAAAAAUCUAAA